UGGCUAACUCCUACGGGAGGCAGCAGUGGGGAAUUUUGGACAAUGGGGCCAACCCUGAUCCAGCAAUGCCGCGUGAGUGAAGAAGGCCUUCGGUUUGUAAAGCUCUUUUGUAAGGGAAGAAACGGAAGUAGCUAAUAUCUUUUACUAAUGACGGUACUGGAAGAUUAAGCACCGGCUAACUACGUGCCAGCAGCCGCGGUAAUACGUAGGGUGCAAGCGUUAAUCGAAAUUACUGGGCGUAAAGCGUGCGCAGGCGGUUGUGUAAGUCAGAUGUGAAAUCCCCGGGCUCAACCUGGGAAUUGCAUUUGAGACUGCACGGCUAGAGUGUGUCAGAGGGGGGUAGAAUUCCACGUGUAGCAGUGAAAUGCGUAGAUAUGUGGAGGAAUACCGAUGGCGAAGGCAGCCCCCUGGGAUAACACUGACGCUCAUGCACGAAAGCGUGGGGAGCAAACAGGAUUAGAUACCCGUGUAGUCCAGCUGG
rnacentral:rRNA from 1 species